GACGAACGCUGGCGGCGUGCCUAAUACAUGCAAGUUGAGCGCUGAAGGAUGGUACUUGUACCAACUGGAUGAGCAGCGAACGGGUGAGUAACGCGUGGGGAAUCUGCCUUUGAGCGGGGGACAACAUUUGGAAACGAAUGCUAAUACCGCAUAAAAACUUUAAACACAAGUUUUAAGUUUGAAAGAUGCAAUUGCAUCACUCAAAGAUGAUCCCGCGUUGUAUUAGCUAGUUGGUGAGGUAAAGGCUCACCAAGGCGAUGAUACAUAGCCGACCUGAGAGGGUGAUCGGCCACAUUGGGACUGAGACACGGCCCAAACUCCCACGGGGAGCAGCAGUAGGGAAUCUUCGGCAAUGGACGAAAGUCUGACCGAGCAACGCCGCGUGAGGGAAGAAGGUUUUCGGAUCGUAAAACUCUGUUUGUAGAGAAGAACGUGGGUGAGAGUGGAAAGCUCAUCAAGUGACGGUAACUACCCAGAAAGGGACGGCUAACUACGUG
rnacentral:rRNA from 1 species